CAGUCGCCACGGUAAUACGAAGGGUGCAAGCGUUACUCGGAAUUACUGGGCGUAAAGCGUGCGUAGGUGGUGGUUUAAGUCCGUUGUGAAAGCCCUGGGCUCAACCUGGGAAUUGCAGUGGAUACUGGAUCACUAGAGUGUGGUAGAGGAUAGUGGAAUUUCCGGUGUAGCAGUGAAAUGCGUAGAGAUCGGAAGGAACAUCUGUGGCGAAGGCGACUAUCUGGGCCAACACUGACACUGAGGCACGAAAGCGUGGGGAGCAAACAGGAUUAGAUACCCCAGUAGUCCCUGUCUCUUAUAC
rnacentral:rRNA from 1 species